UACGUAGGGUGCGAGCGUUGUCCGGAAUUAUUGGGCGUAAAGAGCUCGUAGGCGGUUCGGUAAGUCGGGUGUGAAACCUCCAGGCUCAACCUGGAGACGCCACCCGAUACUGCUGUGACUGGAGUCCGGUAGGGGAGCGUGGAAUUCCUGGUGUAGCGGUGAAAUGCGCAGAUAUCAGGAGGAACACCAGCGGCGAAGGCGGCGCUCUGGGCCGGUACUGACGCUGAGGAGCGAAAGCGUGGGUAGCAAACAGG
rnacentral:rRNA from 1 species